GUAGGCUAGGAUUAGGAUUGUAGGGAUAUGAGAGCAGGAUGAGGAGUGCUAGAUCUUGGGGAAUGUUUUGGGGUAGUCGUUGACAAGGAAAGAGCCACGUCGAAGAAGGGCGGGGGUGUGCUUGCGAGAGAAAUAGAAACGCAGGGGGUUUCGGGGAAAGUUUCAGGAUUUAAGAGUAAGGUGGGAUUUGUUCUAGGGACCUAAACGCUCAAUGCAGGGGGUUAGAAGAGAAGGAAAGGGCAGAUCUGUGAAAGAAAAAGUUCUCUAGGGGCAAAAAUGUGAAGUUGGUUUCGGUUUUAAUUAAAUUGCUAGAUUUAAUUUGUUGCAAACUUGGAAAAUACAUAGAAAUGUGUAGAAAAAUGGGAAAAAUAUUAAACUUAUUUUGCUAGGUUCCUGUUGAUGUCUAGUUUCUUUUAAAAAUAUCCAUGUGCAUGUUACUGUAAUGUUUUUAGCACUAGAUUUUAUUUGGUAUAAAAGCCUUUUAAAUGCAUAGUAAAUCAUAGAAUGCUCUAAAAAAUGUGAAACCACUUUUGUUAGCUUCCUCUUGUCAUGGAUGUUCUAGAUCUGUAAUUUCUGCUACUAGAAUCCCUGAUGUUCAUACUGUUUUAAGUCCAAAUGCUUAAAUGCUAAGUUGUGUUGGUUUAAAAUUCAGAAACAGGAUAACUUUCCAAAUGAAUGUUGAGCAACCCUAAAAUGACCCCACCUCUCUUUUGUGAAGUUCAAGUGGUUAAAACUUUAUCUAUGUACACAAUCA
rnacentral:lncRNA from 1 species